CAUUGGCGCACGCACACCAGUCAGUGGGAAGAGGAGAGACUCGUACUGAGUGGCUUCUCAAUGGGAGGAAAGAGAGGAGAGACGGAGAGAGCAAGCGCGUGAGAGAGAGAGAGUGAAAGCGUGCUACACAGAAGUGCCGUCGCGUGCGCUGGAGCCUCUGUCUGUUUGCCAAAAGUGAAGAGGGAAAUUAGCUUGUAAUCUUUCAGAAGAAGCAUUACCUUCAGAGAAGUGAAAGAGAGGGAGGCUGAGGAAUAGGAAGAAUGUUGCUUCUGUGGUGAAUUAAAUGUGACAUGUCAAGCUGCUCGUCUCUCAAAUCCAAGCUAGUUUCUGACGUUUCACGGCUCCGAGGGGAGAAUUUGCUGUUGGGUGCUUGACUGUGUUCAGAGGAUUGCUGGAAGACUUACGACAAGCAGGAAACAAGGGCAGGAGAGGGGCUCAUCUUCUUUUUAGUUUGAUCCGAAGAGGAACUUUGCUGGGGAGCUCUUUCCCGAGAGCACGGAUGGAUAUGUGACAAUGUUUGUCUGAGGAUUUUUAUAGGAACGCUUAACACACAUUCCUUUGACAUUCUCCUGAUCACAUCGCACAGCCAGCGCUCCUGCCAUGUCCUGGUUCCUCGGUCUGUGGAUAAGUGUCAGCUGCCUACUGCUCUGCCACGCCACUUUGUACGAGACCAUCCAACAGCAUCAUGUGACCCACCCAGGCCGCAACGCCAUACAGAUUCUCGAGGGAGGAACAUGUGAGGUCAUCGCUGCACACAGAUGUUGCAACAAGAACCGCAUCGAGGAACGCUCGCAGACGGUCAAGUGCUCAUGUUUACCAGGGAAAGUGGCCGGCACUACACGGAACAAACCCUCUUGUGUAGACGCUUCUAUCGUGAUUGGGAAGUGGUGGUGUGAGAUGGAGCCGUGUCUGGAGGGGGAGGAGUGUAAGACUCUACCUGAUAACUCCGGCUGGAUGUGUUCUUCUGGGAACAAGAUCAAGACCACGAGGAACACGCAGCCAUACUCAACAUUUUAGCUCCGAGGGCCACAGAGGCUCAACCGAAGCUCAGCGGCGUCCGUCUACUCAUCAAGAUUCAUCCCCGGACCUAACAAAGAGCUCCUUCACAGGCAGUGAAUGUGGAUUCUCUGUCAGAAUGGAUGAAACCAUUACAUUAAAGGGGUAUUUGACUGGAUUACCUGUGACUAAACAAUAAAGGAGAACAUUUCAUGGAGAUAAAGAUAGGUUUUCCAUAUCCGAUGCCAAGGAAUAUUAAUAAAAGUUAUAUAAAUAAAGCAGUGUUUUUUCCAUUUUCUCGGACACCGACAGCUUCGUCCAGUUGUCUCAGUCGUUUUCUUUUCUCUCGACCGGCGUCCUCUGGUAUUGAAAUCAAACAGCUUAUUGGGGACGUUUACUGGAUUUCAAUUUAUAUUUGAAGACUUUGCCAAACCUUAGGUAAACUGGACGAUCCCAACAUAAGCUGUGAAUGACUGUUUGGAGGAUCACGGAUAAUAAGCGGCGGUCUGAGAAAAUGAGGUGGAAAUCAAUAGGAGAUGUCUUUAUUCUUUCAUCGUUUUGUCUUCGCUGUCUACGCUGGCUUUGGUUAUAGACUGGAAGCUUGCGAAAUCCCCGCUAUUUCAUUUCUGAGUUGACUGCUCACCACUGAGUCCACACACUGUUCAAUUGGAUCCUCCCUCAUCCCGGGUCAAAGGUCACCUCACUGUCUACACCAACAAGAUAUCUCUUUCUUUGUCGGCAUGCUCUGUGUAUUUCGUGGGAGCUUUGUUAUGAAAGUACCUGUAUAUAUUUCUGUAUAUAUACAUAUAGAUGCAUAUUAAAAGAUGUCAUACAAAGACCUAACAUGCCCUUAAAACCUGUUGAAUAGGUUUGAGACAAUGUAAUUCCUGACUGUAUUCAUGGUUCUGGUUCCUUAAACAAGAAGUACAUUUAAUCACCUGUCUGUAAAAAAUACAUAUUCUUUUGUCAUAAUGGACAUUCUGUAUUUUUUUUUAGAAUGAGAGUAUAAGAAUGAUAUUAAAAAACAGAAGUUUGAUGGACACUGCGGCUCAACAAAAAAAAGCCCACAGAUGCUUAUUGGAACACAUUUCCAUUCGUACAUGUAGGCAGAUCGACCUUAAUUCAUGUACCGAUCUGUUCCAUGCUGUUAUGAGAAUAGGCAUCAUCUUGCUUGUGUAGAUGUCACGAAUACAACACAAUAGAAGACAUUCAAGUUGUAAAAGAUAUACACGAUAAACAUUGGAUUUGUGUCAAUGGCCCGAUACAUGAUUCAGUUCAGAUAAAAGAAGCCCUUUCUCACAUAGAUCUCAAGGUUUUAGUUUGUCAAAGCUUGGGGCAGCUGAGUUCAAUUUUUGAGUAAAAUAACAUCUUGAUAAUGCUUGACAACGUGUAAGUUUCAAUGAUCUACCGUACCUCCACAUUAAUUCAGAGGGAAAUGAGCGUUUGUUAAACACUGUAAUUGUCAUUAAAAGUGUUUCUGCUU